rnacentral:rRNA from 1 species
GUAGUUGACUCCGUGCUCGAGGACACGCUGGCGGCGUGCUUAACACAUGCAAGUCGAACGCUGAAGCCCGCUUCGGUGGGUGGAUGAGUGGCGAACGGGUGAGUAACACGUGGGUAAUCUGCCCUGCACUCUGGGAUAAGCCUUGGAAACGGGGUCUAAUACCGGAUAGGACGCAUGGCCGCAUGGUCUGUGUGUGGAAAGUUCCGGCGGUGUAGGUUGAGCCCGCGGCCUAUCAGCUUGUUGGUGGGGUGAUGGCCUACCAAGGCGACGACGGGUAGCCGGCCUGAGAGGGUGACCGGCCACACUGGGACUGAGACACGGCCCAGACUCCUACGGGAGGCAGCAGUGGGGAAUCUUGCGCAAUGGGCGAAAGCCUGACGCAGCAACGCCGCGUGGGGAUGACGGCCUUCGGGUUGUAAACCUCUUUCGACAUCGACGAAGCCUUCGGGUGACGGUAGGUGUAGAAGAAGCACCGGCUAACUACGUG